UAAGACGUAAACGUAUAUAUU
rnacentral:piRNA from 1 species